UGGAAGGUGUCCCUGCCCAUGGCAGGGGUUGGAACUGGAUGAGCUUUAAGGUUCUUUCCAACCCAAACGAGUCUGGGGUUCUUUGAUUCUGUGUCUUAACCAGCCUGGCACAUGCAGAAAGGAAAUUGUCCGUGCAAAUAGGUUCUUUACUGCUCUCUGGAAGCCUGAUCCUGCAGCGCCUGGCAGGGUGUGAUUAACAUGAACCAGUGUCAUUGGGGUGAAUGAUGAGAAGUGCACCAAGCACUUCCUGGGAUGAUGCUGACCGCUGUCAUUAACUCACUAGGUGUGAGUUAGAGGAUCAGACAGUGAGCUUUUCCUUAUCCAGAUACAAACCUGGAGUUGGAUCCAUGCAGAUCUGGCUGCCAAAUGGGAUCUUUCUCCCUUGAGAGCCACUGGGCAUUUUCUUUUGAAAGACAGUAUUAAGUGUUUGAACCAAAAGUACCUUCUUUAUGUGUUGUCUGUCUGUCUGUGUGUUUUAGGGAGUUGUGUUCAUUAUGGAGGCACUGUGAGAGGGAAGCUGGGGGCGAGGUGGGGAAAGGCUUCCCAGAGAUGCUCGUUGGGAUAUGCCUGCCGGAUACAGGCUGAUGCAUCAGCUUGGCAGGAAACGACCCUGCCUGCAAAGAGACAAAAUACACAGGCACCUAAACCCUCUGUACAGAGGGGCAGUGUUGGAUGAGGAGCUUAAUCGCAAGGAGAUGCUUAGAGAGGUACCUCUAUAUCCCCAGUUGGCCAUUUGGGGGCAAGUCAUCCCCAAAACUGCUGCAUGCUUAUAAAAAAAGGUGAUGGUGGAGGGGAAAUGAGUGGGCCACAAAGGAGCUCCAGCCCAAGGAGAUGGAAGAAAGUGGUGGUUUAGGUAAGGGAGGCUAUUAGUUAUGCUGUUAGCUGAUGGGACUGUACAUUGUCCCACUGAGCAUAGGGAAAGAAAAGGGUUGGAUAGAUGGAAAGGAAGGAAAAGGGGAUGAAGGGAAGGUGAAAGAAGCAUGCACCAAAGGAGCAAAGAAAUGAUGCCCACUGGGAAAUCAGUCUCUGGAAGGCAGGAUGGGGGAAAGCAGCUUGGUCAAGCUGGAGAGGAGGAAGGAAGGAAAAUCAGUAUCAUGGAUGAGGCCCUGGGCAGAGCUCUGCUACAGAGCAAACCUGAAAAGGGAGUCAGACAGAUGUGGCAGCAUGAAAGUGUGGAGGGGAGGAGUAGAGCAAAGGCAUCCCAACAGGACACGCUGCAUGGAUUUUCAGCCAUCAGAUGGGGGUUUGUAGGUGUCCUGCUGCUGUCCUGCAUGCAGCUACACAGUGCCCGUAGCUUACCCUUCCCAGUGCUUUGAAAGAGUCCCCAAGACCCUUAGAAAGAGGCUGUCUCCUGCCCUUGGCACUGUGCUGCAUCCCAGGACAUGUCUCCUGCCUUGCUUGGCUGCUCUGCUGCAGCUGAAGUGCCUUUUCCAAGCAGAAAACAGGGAUAAAACUUCCUUCCAAUGGGAAUUCGGGGACCAACCCCGUCCUCCUGCCAGGCUAAAUCUCUCUUCCAGUCCACUGUGCUUAGAUUUUCCAGGUUUCCAAGCUGAACCUGUGUGCUGCCAGUGUUUUGGGGCAGCUGAUUUAGAGGUUAGAAAGGGUAAAGUAUGGAAAGCAGAUCUGUUUUUUUGGGGAGUAGCUCCUGGCUGGCGCUUCUCCCAGCCUUUUGCCAUCCCAGCUCACAGGCUGUGUGCAGCAGAAGGGCAGUACAGUCCUAGGGACGUCAGGUUCAUCGUUCCCCAUUUUCCUUUGCUUUUUAUUCCCAUUCUAGAGACCAUCCCAGAGAGGGCUGUGUGCUGUUUAUACACUGGAACUUUGCAGAUUUGUUGCUGUUUCUGUUUUUGUUUGUAUCUUUCUGCUUUUUGGCUUUUCGCAAGGGGUGUGCUGAACCAGGUGUGCUGGACCCCAAACCUUCUGCCCUCCUGUUCCUCAAGGCCAUGAAGAGUUGGUUAAUCCACUCACACAUGCUGGACCAGAUGGGUUUGAGAGGGACGAUGGAGAACUGUUGGGGACAUGGCUUACUCUUGUGCUGGUUUCUCCGCAUGGGGUUAAGUUUCACCCUGAGCAGAUACACAUGGCUUUUGGAAUUGGGUAAUUAUGUCUUGGUUUGGAAUGUCUCAGGUGCUUUUGGUGGGAAAAAUGGCCAAACAGGGCAAGAAAUAGAAGAUACUGUACAAUUGAACCUUCUCACAUCUUCCCAAACCAACCUCCUCCAAAAGAAUGGUCCCAGGAAGCACCGGUAUUUGGAUGCUGUGGGAAACGUGUCCGUCUUCUUGCGUUUGCUUUUCUGGAGGGGUUUUCUGCAAGGCUUUAGGGCUUUGGUUGCUUCUUCCUUUUUAAUGUCGCAAUAUUGGGAUGCCUUGGCGUGCUCUGCUCUCUGGUAGGGUCUAUAUAACAUCCGUGAGCUGUUGUCUACAUUCCAAAGAGGUUUAAAUAAAUGAUAAAUCUAUGUAUACAUAUAUGUUGUAAUGGAAUAUCUCCAGGAAUUAUCUGCCUCAGUAGAAAAAGAGAAAAAAAAAGUGGAUGUUCUUUUUUUUUUUUUUUUGGUUUAAUUUUGUUUUUACAGGAGAUUUUUCUUUUUAAGCUGAUAGAAGAAGAAGAAAAAGAAGAGAUUGUUAUAUUGUGCUGUUCAACUAUUUUCCAACUUGUAUUUUCAUAUAAUUUAUAUUUUUUAAAAGUGGGAAAAAAAAGUUUAAAAGCCAGAUUUAAAAAAAAAAAUAGAUUAAAAAAAAACAAGGAAAAAGCAGGUGCUUUUUAAACAAACUGAGCUGAGGUAGCUUAGAGAUGUAGCGAUGUGUGUGUGUGUGUGUGUGUGUGUCCGUGCGUUGUGUUGUGUUCUGUUUCAUUUUUUUAAAGGAUGCAAAAAGAAGUCCCUCCUCCAUUGAACCCUUAAAGAAGGAGGGGAUUGGUUUUGUUUUAAUUGCUGAUGCUGGCACAUCAUUUUGCUGGAGAGUUUUUUAUAUACUGUAGCCUUAUUUCAUAUCGUAUUUUAAACCAUGUGAAAUUAAAAAGAAGAAUAAUUCCUAA